GGUUGGCUGCGAUGGACUGUCACCCCGUCCUGACCUGUGUCUAAACUGGCUCGCAGAAACUCGCGGCACUGAGUUGGAGUUAGUGGGUUUAUGAGAUGGUUCUUCAUCUUCUUCUUUCGGCUUCUCCCGAUAGAAAGUUUUUCAAAGCACAAAGAAACAACUGCAUAUGCAGAGAACCCUUCUCAGAAUGAAAUCAAGCAAUGGCUCUAUGAUGAACCCUACAACCCAGUUAAGAACCAUAUAGUGCCAUUAAAGAACCAUUUUUUAAGAGUGCAGGCUGGAUCCUUAGUUGAGUCCAAGGCAGCCGGGAUAGGCACCAACUACCAGUGACCUUGAACAGGAUAUGCCAGUCAGAAAAAGGAUGGACAACUGUAGUCGUUUUCAUAACAACUCAAAGACCAGAAGAAGAAAAAUAACUUACCUCACACACUUCUGGGUUUGCAAGAUGGCCGCCAAACGUCACUUCCUCAUCCGGCUCCCAGUGAUGAAGUCACUUCCAGCUCCAUCUUGAUGGCGUCACAUCCGGUCUCAUGAAGAUGAUGUUACUUCCGCCAUAGCAUCACUUCCGGUCUCCCGUUGAUGACGUCACAUCCGUCUUGCAGUUACGACAUCAUCUCCUGCCGCAUCAUUUCAGCCCGCCAUUUUUCUCCAGUAUAAAAACGCCACGACUGUAUUUUCUGCUGUCAAUUGCUCUUUAAAAGAACAUUGAUCAUUAUUUUGCAUUUAUUUCUUUACAUUGUUCACUGGACAUUAUAUGGGGACGGGCCCCAACUCUUUCUGUUGUGGAUAUCUUUUUUAUUCACGACACCAUUCUAAAGAGAAACACGACUUUCAUAAUCAUAAUAGACAUCCAUUGGCAAUAAUUAACUGUGAGUUUCAAGGUCCUUUCAGUAAAAUGUCUUGUUAAAAAUAACAUUUAAAGGAAAGAAAAACAUAAAUUUACAUAUCAAAAGAACUAUAGAAACAGCAAGGUAACUGCGUGUCUUGUACACUAUCUAAACUCUUUAAAUUUUAUGUACAAUAAAAAUGUACAAAAAUAAGCAUUUAGAUACCAAUAAUAAUUAUGUCAUUUAAAAGGACCCUGCUCUGCUGCCUUAAUCUUUUAUCAAUAUGUUUGCUUGAAUCUAUAUUAGCUAGUAAUGCUACAGAUAUUUUCCGUAUAUCCAAACUGUAUUCUUAGCCGACUGCAUUUACCCAAUUCUAAUGUGACACAUAAGCUGAAUAAAAACUAACAAGAAUAGAGCUUUAAUUCACACUAGAGUCUGUUUGUUUCUGUGUAUCAGUUUCUUUACAUUUUAGCUAUCUUUACAUUUAGAAUACCAUUAUUUCCAUAUUUAUGCACCUAAUGCACACUCGGUAACUUUCUUAGAGCAAUCCAUUAA